CUUCAUUCUCCUGCCUUCCCCUGAGGGCAGGCCAUCGCCAUCACUCAGGAUGCCACUGCUGGAAGCACUGCUCUUCUUCUCCUUCUGGGCUGCUGGACUUGGAUUAUCCAAAGUGGAGCAGUCCCAGAUAUCCGUUUCCGCGGAAGUACAGAAAAGUGUUGCAAUAUUUUGCAAGGUAUCAAGUUCAACAUUUGGAAGUGAAGCCAUUCACUGGUACAGGCAGAAACCCAAUCAGGCUUUGGAGCACCUAAUUCAGGUUUCCUCAACAACAACCCCAGCUCAUGCUAACUUGGGUGGGAAGCGCAACAAAGUUGAAGCAGAAAAGGAUCCUCAAGAUUCCACUUCAAUCCUUACUGUAAACUUCAUAGAAAAAGGAGAUGUGGCCACUUACUACUGUGCUGGCUGGGUCUCACAGUACUAGAACCACCAGGGCAAUCUGCACAAGAUCUCCCUGGGUCUGUGCCCACCCACAUCCUUCCCAAAACAGGCAACCAUUUCAACUCCCCAGCGGGGCUUCCUGCCUCGGGCUUGCUUCCUCUGCAGAGCUGCCUGGGCUCUCCAGGAAGCCAUCAUGGGCUGUGCCUACACAGCGGUUCUCACUUGACACGACUGCCUAAUGAGGUGAAGACUGAGAGCACAGGGCAUCCAGAGAUGUCGGCAGGUAGCCAGGGGCCGGCUCUGCCAGGAAAUCAUGGCAUGCCUCUGCUAGCACACACAGUCAACACAACCCCUCUGCAACACAAGGGUCAUUGGCCUAGGUUGCACUAAAGAAAUGAAAACUUGGAAAGUUGAAGUUUAAUGGU